GGGGCUGGGCCUCAGUCGGUACAGUGCUUGCUUAGCAUGCAUGAAGCCCUGGGUUCAAACCCCAACACCUCCU
rnacentral:tRNA from 1 species